CCUACGGGUGGCAGCAGUGAGGAAUAUUGGUCAAUGGACGAGAGUCUGAACCAGCCAAGUAGCGUGAAGGAUGACUGCCCUAUGGGUUGUAAACUUCUUUUAUAAAGGAAUAAAACGAGGUACGUGUGCCUUUUUGCAUGUACUUUAUGAAUAAGGAUCGGCUAACUCCGUGCCAGCAGCCGCGGUAAUACGGAGGAUCCGAGCGUUAUCCGGAUUUAUUGGGUUUAAAGGGAGCGUAGAUGGGUUGUUAAGUCAGUUGUGAAAUUUUGCGGCUCAACCGUAGAAUUGCAAUUGAUACUGGCAGUCUUGAGUACAGUUGAGGUAGGCGGAAUUCGUGGUGUAGCGGUGAAAUGCUUAGAUAUCACGAAGAACCCCGAUUGCGAAGGCAGCUUACUAAACUGUGACUGACAUUGAUGCUCGAAAGUGUGGGUAUCAAACAGGAUUAGAUACCCGAGUAGUC
rnacentral:rRNA from 1 species